GGGGCAAUAGCUCAGUGGUUAGAGCAGCGGACUCAUAACCCGUCGGUCCCUGGUUCAAGUCCAGGUUGCCCCA
rfam:Chlamydiae bacterium RIFCSPHIGHO2_12_FTLL_49_9 rifcsphigho2_12_scaffold_36361, whole genome shotgun sequence.